UCGGAGAGGAAAGUGGANUUCCUAGUGUAGCGGUGAAAUGCGUAGAUAUUAGGAAGANCACCAGUGGCGAAGGCGACUUUCUGGACGAAAACUGACGCUGAGGCGCGAAAGCCAGGGGAGCGAACGGGAUUAGAUACCCCGGUAGUCCUGGCCGUAAACGAUGGGUACUAGGUGUAGGAGGUAUCGACCCCUUCUGUGCCGGAGUUAACGCAAUAAGUACCCCGCCUGGGGAGUACGACCGCGAGGUUGAAACUCAAAGGAAUUGACGGGGGCCCGCACAAGCGGUGGAGUAUGUGGUUUAAUUCGACGCAACGCGAAGAACCUUACCAGGUCUUGACAUUGAUGGACAGAACCAGAGAUGGUUCCUCUUCUUCGGAAGCCAGAAAACAGGUGGUGCACGGUUGUCGUCAGCUCGUGUCGUGAGAUGUUGGGUUAAGUCCCGCAACGAGCGCAACCACUAUCUUAUGUUGCCAGCACUUUGGGUGGGGACUCAUGAGAGACUGCCGCAGACAAUGCGGAGGAAGGCGGGGAUGACGUCAAAUCAUCAUGCCCCUUAUGACCUGGGCUACACACGUACUACAAUGGGAGUUAAUAGACGGAAGCGAGAUCGCGAGAUGGAGCAAACCCGAGAGACACUCUCUCAGUUCGGAUCGUAGGCUGCAACUCGCCUACGUGAAGUCGGAAUCGCUAGUAAUCGCAGGUCAGCAUACUGCGGUGAAUACGUUCCCGGGCCUUGUACACACCGCCCGUCACACCACGAAAGUCGGAAGUGCCCAAAGCCGGU
rnacentral:rRNA from 1 species